rnacentral:rRNA from 1 species
AUGAACGCUGGCGGCGUGCUUAACACAUGCAAGUCGAACGGAGAGCCUAUGACGGAGUUUUCGGACAACUGAUUAGGUUUCUUAGUGGCGGACGGGUGAGUAACGCGUGAGUAACCUGCCUUAUGGAGGGGGACAACAGUUGGAAACGACUGCUAAUACCGCAUAAUAUGUUUUUACCGCAUGAUAGAAACAUCAAAGAUUUAUCGCCAUAAGAUGGACUCGCGUCUGAUUAGCUAGUUGGUGGGGUAACGGCCCACCAAGGCGACGAUCAGUAGCCGGUCUGAGAGGAUGAACGGCCACAUUGGGACUGAGGGACACGGCCCAAACUCCUACGGGAGGCAGCAGUGGGGAAUCUUCCGCAAUGGGCGCAAGCCUGACGGAGCAACGCCGCGUGAGUGAAGAAGGUUUUCGGAUCGUAAAGCUCUGUUGAGAGGGACGAGAGAUAUAAUCAGGAAAUGGGUUAUAGAGGACGGUACCUUUCGAGGAAGCCACGGCUAACUACGUG